rnacentral:rRNA from 1 species
UACGUAGGGUGCGAGCGUUAAUCGGAAUUACUGGGCGUAAAGCGUGCGCAGGCGGUUUUUCAAGACAGGCGUGAAAUCCCCGGGCUCAACCUGGGAACUGCGCUUGUGACUGGAAGGCUAGAGUACGGCAGAGGGGGUGGAAUUCCACGUGUAGCAGUGAAAUGCGUAGAGAUGUGGAGGAACACCGAUGGCGAAGGCAGCCCCCUGGGCCAGUACUGACGCUCAUGCACGAAAGCGUGGGGAGCAAACAGGAUUAGAAACCCCUGUAGUCC